AGAUGCAAUUUAUUGCAUCACAAAAUCGUGUUUUUCAGCAUUUUGAUAGCCCUCAGAAAUUGCUGACCUCAUGAUGUACUCCACUGGUGUUUCCAUUUUUCCCAGCACUGCAGCUGGAAUUUAGAAUCCUGACUCACCCUUCAGCCAGCCACACAGAAUGCUGAUCAUUCUGGUAUGGUCAACGCUCACAAAGUGACUUUGAAAGGGGAAAUAGAUUUCGGACAAACCAAAACCAAUGCAAUUCAGAGAGAGAAGCAGAGAGACCGAGCUCGCGCAGAGGAGGGGCAGAGAGAGGGAGACACAGAAUCCGAAGCAGGUUCCAGGCUCUGAGCUGUCAGCCCAGAGCCCGAUGCAGGGCUGGAACUCACAAACCGUGAGAUCAUGAUCUGAGCCGAAGUUGGAUGCUUAACCGACUGAGCCACCCAGGCACCCCUCCACUACAUUUAAAUAAAAUAAUUUUGUCAAGUUUCCUCUUAAGAGUAAAACAGUUUUCGGAGAAGAACCUGGAGCCCAGGGCUGGCACUGGAACAUUUGAGUAUCUGACUGCUGUUCGACCAGCUUUUCCUGUUGGCUUGCUAUUCCCAGGAAACCAUCAAUGGAGCUGUUUGGCUGGGGUGAAGGGCUAUUAGAAGAGAUGUUUGAGAGCUUCAGCACCUGCGCUCACACACAUGCUCACCUGCCCACAGAACCUUACAUGCCCUUGAUUAUUGGGAGAUUGGAAGAAUAACACAAGAGGGUAAAACCUCCUCUGGAGACCAAUAACUCCAAGGAUACUGACUUGCCCUCCGGGGGACCUAAGACCCAUCUGGAAGGUGACAAUUGUCUUUGAUUUCUGUCCCUCUUCCUUUUCACAAGUCACUUUCCCCCUCCUUACCAUUGUCUUUCCUUCACUCUUAGGUAGUGAUCUCAGCUGAGUAAGAGCCAACAAAGAGCUUCCUAUUGACAGGUUAGCCAAGGGUCUCAGCUUUUCCAGGGUUUGUUCCAUGGGUCCUUCUUGAAGAGUCCAUUAAAUCUUUCAUGGUACAUUUUGUAGAGAGGCUAAUAAAGUAUAGGCUCUUUCAAGGUUCCCCAUAUCAUAGCCACAGACCCUUACACAUUUGUUCAUCCUAUCUACUUUUAAGACCAUUAUAAGUUCCCAUAUAAAAGGACAGGUUAUCAUAUGGGGACAUUAAAGGUGAAACUGUAGUUUUUAAGAUCCACAAUAGGAGAAAAAAGUAACUCGGAAAAGUAAAAUCACAGGAAGUCACAAAUCUCUCAAUUUCAUUAUACGAUUCUAAACUGUAGGCCCUCCAAGGUCAAGGGUAGGCAAAGUCUGACUAAUUUUUAUAAUACCAGUACCUAACAGAGUAUCUUGAAUAUAGAUCCUCAAUGAAUUAUUAUUGAGUGGAUGAAGAUUUCAUUGUCUGUCUCGGCAGCACGCCUAAGAUUGCCCAGAUUCUUCAUUGUUCUCAGAGCCAGCAUUUAUUACAUCUCACUCGAAAGUCGAAAGUCGCUAAGACAAGGCAUUUUCCACAGGCUUUUCCUGUUUUUUUUUCAGUACUGGCCAACCUCGAUUUUCUGGUGACAACAUCAGUUGGCUUGUGUUUUUUUGCUGGCCUUUGCAAUAAUACAGUAACAAAAUCUGGAAUCACCAGAACUGAUGUUAACACAAAUAGUUUUAAAAUGGAACUACCAUUCAAAGGAAAGGUUGAUGCUUACCUAACAAGGGUUAGGACUGUAGAAUAAUGUUUGUAAGAAGUACUGUAAAGUGCUAUCCAUAUUUUAGCUACUAUUAUUAUUUAAAAACUACCAAUAGCACCUUAUAAAGAGUAUUCCAGGUCAUUUUUACUCUAUAUGACAAAGCAGUGGUUUUCCAAUAUUUUUGGUCAGUGAAAUGGUAUUCUGGCAAAAUACCUCAAGACUUGCUAUCUCAUUCACUCUUAUCCAGUGCAAGUGUUUUAUCACAAUGAAUAGGAAGAAGAAGGCUACUUUUAAUUUCCAGUUUCCAAUAACCUUCUGCUAGGAAAGACGAAACAGGAUAAAAGAAUUGUGGAAAGGGGUUCCAACUACAAGGUAACUAUGGUUAGAUUCUUCAUCAAUUCCUCCAAGAUCAACCAGGAUUAGAUUCUUGACAAAGCAACAAGAAGCCAAGCUAAAGAUUAGAGAAACCUCGGGCGCCUGAGUGGCUCAGUCGUUAAGUGUCCACCUCCGACUCAGAUCAUGAUCUCAUGGUUUGUGAGUUCGAGCCCCGUGUGGGGCUCUAGGCUGACAGCUCAGAGCCUGGAGCCUGCUUCAGGCUCCCUCUGUGUCUCCCUCUGUCUGCCCCUCUGCUGCUUGUGCUCUGUCUCUGGCAUUGUCUCAAAAAUAAAUAAACGUUGGGGAGCCUGGGUGGCUCAGUCGGUUAAGCAUCCGACUUCGGCUCAGGUCAUGAUCUCGGGGUCUGCGAGUUCGAGUCCCACGUCAGGCUCUGUGCUGACAGCUCAGAGCCUGGAGCCUGUUUCAGAUUCUGUGUCUCCCUCUCUCUCUGACCCUCCCCUGUUCAUGCUGUC